UUAUUGGGCGUAAGGGCUCGCAGGCGGUUUCUUAAGUCUGAUGUGAAAGCCCCCGGCUCAACCGGGGAGGGUCAUUGGAAACUGGGGAACUUGAGUGCAGAAGAGGAGAGUGGAAUUCCACGUGUAGCGGUGAAAUGCGUAGAGAUGUGGAGGAACACCAGUGGCGAAGGCGACUCUCUGGUCUGUAACUGACGCUGAGGAGCGAAAGCGUGGGGAGCGAACAGGAUUAGAUACCCUGGUAGUCCACGCCGUAAACGAUGAGUGCUAAGUGUUAGGGGGUUUCCGCCCCUUAGUGCUGCAGCUAACGCAUUAAGCACUCCGCCUGGGGAGUACGGUCGCAAGACUGAAACUCAAAGGAAUUGACGGGGGCCCGCACAAGCGGUGGAGCAUGUGGUUUAAUUCUAAUCAACGCGAAGAACCUUACCAGGUCUUGAGGGGGGCUGACAAUCCUACAGAUAGGACGUCCCCUUCGGGGGCAGAGUGACAGGUGGUGCAUGGUUGUCGUCAGCUCGUGUCGUGAGAUGUUGGGUUAAGUCCCGCAACGAGCGCAACCCUUGAUCUUAGUUGCCAGCAUUCAGUUGGGCACUCUAAGGUGACUGCCGGUGACAAACCGGA
rnacentral:rRNA from 1 species